UACGUAGGGGCCAAGCGUUGUCCGGAUUUAUUGGGCGUAAAGAGCUCGUAGGCGGUUCGGCAAGUCAGCUGUGAAAUCUCCACGCUCAACGUGGAGGGGUCAGCUGAUACUGCUGUGACUCGAGUCCGGUAGGGGAGUGUGGAAUUCCCGGUGUAGCGGUGAAAUGCGCAGAUAUCGGGAGGAACACCAGUGGCGAAGGCGACUUUCUGGUCUGUAACUGACGCUGAGGCGCGAAAGCGUGGGGAGCAAACAGGG
rnacentral:rRNA from 1 species